AGCAGCCGCGGUAAUUCCAGCUCCAAUAGCGUAUAUUAAAGUUGUUGCAGUUAAAAAGCUCGUAGUUGAAUUUCGGAAUCUGUCCAUCGGUCGGGCUUCACUGUCCGUACUGGUGUGGUGGGUUCUUACCUUCUGAAUAACCAGCAUGCCAUUUAUUUGGUGCGCUGGGGAAGCAGGACUAUUACCUUGAAAAAUUAGAGUGCUCAAAGCAGGCUAGUGCCUGAAUACAUUAGCAUGGAAUAAUAAAAUAGGACGGCAUGGUUCUAUUUUGUUGGUUUCUAGGAUCACCGUAAUGAUUAAUAGGGAUAGUUGGGGGCAUUAGUAUUCAAUUGUCAGAGGUGAAAUUCUUGGAUUUAUUGAAGACUAACUUCUGCGAAAGCAUUUGCCAAGGAUGUUUUCAUUAAUCAAGAACGAAAGUUAGGGGAUCGAAGACGAUCAGAUACCGUCGUAGCCUUAACCAUAAACUAUGCCGACUAGGGAUCGGACGAUGUUAAUUUUUAAUGACUCGUUCGGCGUCCG
rnacentral:rRNA from 1 species